UGCAAUGUGGUAUAGUGGUUGGAGUAUUGGACUGUGAUUCUGGAGACCAGGGUUCGAUUGCCAGCUUGGUCA